rnacentral:rRNA from 1 species
UACGUAGGGUGCGAGCGUUGUCCGGAAUUAUUGGGCGUAAAGAGCUCGUAGGCGGUUUGUUGCGUCGACUGUGAAAACCUGGGGCUUAACUCUGGGCUUGCAGUCGAUACGGGCAGGCUAGAGUUCGGUAGGGGAGACUGGAAUUCCUGGUGUAGCGGUGAAAUGCGCAGAUAUCAGGAGGAACACCGGUGGCGAAGGCGGGUCUCUGGGCCGAUACUGACGCUGAGGAGCGAAAGCGUGGGGAGCGAACAGG